GAUAUUUAUAUUAAAAAUAGGUUACUGGAAAAAUUAGAUUUGUAAAUACGAGAUAAUUUUAUUCAUUUUAAUAAAUUAUUUUAAUUUUUAAUGAGUAAAAAGCUGAAUGUUUUUUUCUUUUUAAGUUAUAUUUUUUGUCUUUAAAUGAUGCAUUUCGUUAUUUCGUUGCAUUUUCAAUGAGCGUCGGAUCCCGUCCAUAUCUGAAAUGUGGUGGAAGGACUAGCGAAUUAGCCAUGGAAGUAAUUUUUAAAAUGUUGUACAUCGUAAAAUAAUUCAAAUUCUACGGCACUUUUUAACACAUAAGGAUGAGAGUGGGAAAAAAUAGUAUUUUAUAUUUGAAAGGAAGUACAAACCCAUUUCCCCGCCCGUUUUCUUCUCUGCCUCAAAACUCAUUUUGUCCUCUGUUCGAAAACCCAUUUUCCCGCACGCUGAUCAUGAUCAUGGACUGGAGAUCCUUGCCUCAACACCAUAGGAAGGAAGUGAAGUGCAGAUCUGAAACACCAUUGCCCCCGGGUGUUUUCUUUAAGUUUUGUGGUUAUAUUUGUUGGUGUGGUUGUGUUUGGUCAUCGAGAAAGUGUGGGAAAGUUGAAAAAAAAUGAGGUUUUCGUUUUUUUUUUUUUACAAUGAAAUCGAGUAGACUAAUUUUUUUUUUUUUUUUUGUGGUUCGGCUUGUUGCCAAGAAAGUGUGGGAAAGUUGAAAAUUUUGUUUUCAUUUGCUCCCACACAAUAUUCGUCACCGAUUGUCGGUAAUUUUCGGGAAAUUUCCCGAUAUUUCCUACCAGUCCAGCCCGCGCACAGGAUACAAAAUCGGUCCAAUUUUUUUUUAUAAAAAAACAUAAGAUGCUAUUUGGUAAUCUGAUCAUGAUUUGCAGGGAAAGGUUGUGUUUUUCAGCCUGGCUCAAAAAUCGUGGAUUUAGGGUUCGUGAAAUUUAAAUCCAAUGGCACAAAAGCAAGGAGACCCCUAGAACAGAUCCAGAAAGCACAGGGAGCAAAAAUAGUCUAUGCUUCCUUUAAAACUAAUGUGCUUGCUGAUGAUCAAGACUGUGAAUGUCGUGGAUCGAAUCAAUGUUUUAGCAGAUUUGAAGACAGCCAAGCCUCUCGAACUGCCGCCUUCUCUGAAGUCAGGAAUUGUGUCAUCCUUUACCUUAGGAGUCAGAAAUGGACAAAACUCUGUGGUCAGGAUUUGCAUGGUGCUUCUUCAGAAUGGGCCCUCACUUUCUUACCAGUGGGUGUAAUAUGGUAGGCAUCCAAUAUAGAGAAAUCUUUGCUCAGCACCAACUGGGGUCUUUUGGAUGUUUGGCUUGUCAACAACCCAGGUUCGAGUAGCAUCAUAGUUGAUAUUAGUGGGGUCCUCACAAGAGACAUCCACUUUCUUGUUGCAAAAAAAUGGUUCCUCUGUGACUCUACUUCUGAUCUCCUCAUACUCUUCUUGUGUGCCAAUCAGCCUCCAUUUGAAGCAUGCUCCAAAUUGGACAGCAUAUGCACCAAUUGAGCUGCGGACCAAUGCUGAUUGCUGUUAUGAAAAAUGAAAAGCAGUGCUGGACAAGAAAAAUAAAGAAGGUAGAAUGGAAAUUCUUCCAUGAAGUUCUUCAGUGAUGUUCAAGUUACUGUCUUUACCGGCAAAUCAGGUGAUAUACUGUCAUGGCAUAUUUGGUUUCAUACUGCCUUAACCAUGGUUAGGAAAAUCAGCAUAAUUGGUCACCAAUGGUUACCUACCUGGUUAAGGCCUCUACAUCAACCCCACCAACAAGGAGGAAACCUAACUAAGUGGAGUUCAUGCAGAUCUGCUAUCAGAACUCACAUCUUUCACAGUUUCUCAUUUGCAUAUAUUCCUUUGGUACAGAGCAUUAUCUAUCUUCAGGCAAGUCUAGGCCAUCAAUGGGUGCAUGAAGUUUGUUUCUAUUUACUUGAGUUCCUGUGUUUUUUUUCCCCCAUUUUGAUGGGUUUUUCUGCUUGUGUCAAUUCUUGAUUGUGCUUGCUUCUUGUGGAAAAAUGCACCGAGUGAGCUCACCUCAGUGGAACUGGAUUCAAAUUGGCCUACAGGAGAACAGGAAGCAGAAGACUUCAAACUUGCCAAUUGGAAUGAUACUAUUGCAAGUCAUCCUAAAAUAGAAUUGCAUCUGUUUCAUAUAAAAUUCUGGAGCACUAUCAAAAAGGUUGCUGAAUGUGGGCACAGUAGGAAACUGCUGAGAUGGCCAUUCUAAGAUGUGGAAUUUAUUGUGGGCGCAACCUUGUAUAUAACAUAAUGGACAAUGCUUUUUGAUGUUUUCAGAGAAAGGCAAUGAAAGUGAUACAUCAAGAAGUCAUGAAUUUGAAGAUUUACAUCACCUGGUGGACUUCACAGUGCCAGAGAUUAUAUGUGUGCAUAGGGAGCUAAGGCAUUCUUAACCAUUGCAGAAGCAAUGUGGUGCUUCUCGAUAUGUGAUACUUGAUGUAUCUCUACUCUGUGGAAAGGAAGGGUAUUUUUUUAGUAGUUCUAUCGUAAAGAGGUCUCAAAGAAAAUUCCUCUGGGUUCUGCUGCUGUGCAAUUGAGAUCAGGAGCUCAAAGUUCUGAAGCCAUUCUUUCUAGCCAAGCCAACCAAAUAUUCUGAAACCUUCAGUUGCCAAUACUCAAAAUUUCCAGUCCCCAAACCACCAGUUGUAGGAUCCAAAAUGUAUCUAAACCUAGGGAUCCCACUGUUUAUAAAAGUCGACUCCAAGCAAGAAGGAUGAUAUGAUACUGAAGUUUGUUCUCAGCUGCAAGAACCGCAAGAUAGAGUCCAAGGUUGGAGUAAGUGGGCUAAUCAGAAGGUUAUGUAGGCUGCUUGUAGGCUUAUCAGGGACCUAACUGAGCAAAAUUGAUGAGGCAGAGGAAAUAAGAAUAACAACUAAUAAGACAUAAAAGAGAAAAUCUUGGAGGAAAAAAAUCUGAAGUGGCUAUCUGAGAUGGAUGGGCAGGUUGAGAGGAACUACUCUACUGUUUACAGGCUUAACUAGGAAAAAACUUUGCUGAAAAAGAACAAUGCAGCUGCUAAAUUGGAAGCUAUAGAAUCAGAUUUGGGUUGGCAUGAAACUCUGAAUGGGGUGCAGAAUACUUCAUAGUGUGCUAACAUAUAAGAGAAGCAGGAGGGCAUUUCCAGGAGGAGCUAGGAGCCCAAAAGUAAAAGGCGGCAGAGCAGCAAAAGGAAGUAGAAAAGUCAUGAUAUUGCCAUAACCAAAUGAGGCCAGAUGGAACGAGCAAUUCCCGGAAAAAGAGAAUUAUUAUGUUGGCUGACUCAAUACAGAAGGCUAUGAGUAGAAGCUUUUACAAAAGAAGAGGAGGAUGUCAUCCAAGAGAAAUGGAAAAUGCAAGGCUGGAGCCUCUUGGAUCAGGAUCAAGUUUCUCAACUGCAGAUCUAAGCAUCAAUCUGAAUGGAACUUUCUAGAGGGAAUUCCACUGAAAUACACUCAGGUAGUUGCCCUCUUUCUUCUGUCACAUAGUCCAUCCUAGAAUAAACCAAAAGAAAAGGAAAGAAAAGGAAAACCAUUAGAAAAAUAGUUUAGAGGGUGGAAUUGCCUAAACUGUAGGUUAGUAUGGAGUUUUUUUUUUCUUGCUUUUGUGAAGUUUAAGUUAGAUGCUUUUCUGUAUAUAAAGUUUACCUUAAGCUUGCCUUUCUUUUCUUGCUUCUGUGAACUGAUAAGAUGCUUAUCUAUGAACUCAGUUUACUUUAUUUUCUCA